rnacentral:rRNA from 1 species
GAUGAACGCUGGCGGCGUGCCUAAUACAUGCAAGUCGAGCGAACAGACGAGGAGCUUGCUCCUCUGACGUUAGCGGCGGACGGGUGAGUAACACGUGGAUAACCUACCUAUAAGACUGGGAUAACUUCGGGAAACCGGAGCUAAUACCGGAUAAUAUAUUGAACCGCAUGGUUCAAUAGUGAAAGACGGUUUUGCUGUCACUUAUAGAUGGAUCCGCGCCGCAUUAUCUAGUUGGUAAGGUAACGGCUUACCAAGGCAACUAUGCGUAGCCGACCUGAGAGGGUGAUCGGCCACACUGGAACUGAGACACGGUCCAGACUCCUACGGGAGGCAGCAGUAGGGAACCUUCCGCAAUGGGCGAAAGCCUGACGGAGCAACGCCGCGUGAGUGAUGAAGGUCUUCGGAUCGUAAAACUCUGUUAUUAGGGAAGAACAAAUGUGUAAGUAACUAUGCACGUCUUGACGGUACCUAAUCAGAAAGCCACGGCUAACUACGUG